GACGAACGCUGGCGGCGUGCCUAAUACAUGCAAGUCGAGCGAGACUCUUCGGAGUCUAGCGGCGGACGGGUGAGUAACACGUGGGCAACCUGCCUGUAAGACUGGGAUAACACCGGGAAACCGGUGCUAAUACCGGAUAAUCCUUUUCCUCUCAUGAGGAAAAGCUGAAAGUCGGUUUCGGCUGACACUUACAGAUGGGCCCGCGGCGCAUUAGCUAAUUGGUGAGGUAACGGCUCACCAAGGCGACGAUGCGUAGCCGACCUGAGAGGGUGAUCGGCCACACUGGGACUGAGACACGGCCCAGACUCCUACGGGAGGCAGCAGUAGGGAAUCUUCCACAAUGGACGAAAGUCUGAUGGAGCAACGCCGCGUGGGUGAUGAAGGCCUUCGGGUCGUAAAGCUCUGUUGUUAGGGAAGAACAAGUACCGGAGUAACUGCCGGUACCUUGACGGUACCUAACCAGAAAGCCACGGCUAACUACGUGCCAGCCGCCGCAGUAAUAC
rnacentral:rRNA from 1 species